rnacentral:misc_RNA from 1 species
GAUGAAGAAGGCAGUGAAAUGCGAUAAGUAAUGUGAAUUGCAGAAUUCAGUGAAUCAUCGAGUCUUUGAACGCACAUUGCGCCCCCUGGUAUUCCGGGGGGCAUGCCUGUCCGAGCGUCAUUGCUGCCCUCAAGCACGGCUUGUGUGUUGGGCCCCCGCCCCCCGGCUUCGGGGGGCGGGCCCGAAAGGCAGCGGCGGCACCGCGUCCGGUCCUCGAGCGUAUGGGGCUUCGUCACCCGCUCUGUAGGCCCGGCCGGCGCCCGCCGGCGACCCCAAUCAAUCUUUCCAGGUUGACCUCGGAUCAGGUAGGGAUACCCGCUGAACUUAAGCAUAUCAAUAAGCGGAGGA